rnacentral:rRNA from 1 species
CCUACGGGAGGCAGCAGUCGAGAAUCAUUCACAAUGGGGGAAACCCUGAUGGUGCGACGCCGCGUGGGGGAAUGAAGGUCUUCGGAUUGUAAACCCCUGUCAUGUGGGAGCAAAUUAAAAAGAUAGUACCACAAGAGGAAGAGACGGCUAACUCUGUGCCAGCAGCCGCGGUAAUACAGAGGUCUCAAGCGUUGUUCGGAUUCACUGGGCGUAAGGCGUGCGUAGGCUGUUUCGUAAGUCGUGUGUGAAAGGCGCGGGCUCAACCCGCGGACGGCACAUGAUACUGCGAGACUAGAGUAAUGGAGGGGGAACCGGAAUUCUCGGUGUAGCAGUGAAAUGCGUAGAUAUCGAGAGGAACACUCGUGGCGAAGGCGGGUUCCUGGACAUUAACUGACGCUGAGGCACGAAGGCCAGGGGAGCGAAAGGGAUUAGAUACCCCAGUAGUC